CAAGUCCAUCCCAGCCCCCCCUCCUCCUCCCGCCCCCUGUCACCGGUCAAUGACGUCAUUCAUCAAAACCACUGACUGCUGGGCUUAGCGCCACUGAAAUGGGACCUGAUUGUUUGUUAAAGAUGAAGCCAAACGUGCUGCUGAUUUACAAGCUCCUCGAAUUGGAAAAUGGCCGAAAAACACUUGACCGAGGACUUCGCAGCUUCACUAACCGGGUGUGUUUAGAAAAUAUUUUUUUCAUAGAUAUGUCGUCUUGAUGAUUUGUGAAUGAAUCAAAUCAAAGCAACUUUUCAGCCAUGCGCCAACCCUGAAGACGAGCUGCCGGUUGAGUUAGCAUGUAUUAUCAGUGUGGUUGAUGAUGUGUGACUUUCCCACACAGGCCAAUGAAGAGGUUCAACGUUUCCUGAACGGGUCCCUUUCGACCUAUCAGUACGAUGAACUAUCGACGAUCUUGGACGCCAAGUGCCGAACUUUAAACAAUCUCCUCACUACAUUACAACACGCCACAAGUGGUAAGUGUCGUGACCUGCAUAUGCUUGUCUUACAUAAAUUAAAUUGGACUAGAUGAUGUUUUGUCUCCCAUAUAGGCUAGACCAAAAUACAUAUGUAUUUUCUUCUUAUACUGCAGAUCAACAAUUCUGUGCCGAGGCCCCUGCAGACAACGGAGACAUAACAAACCAGCUAUAUCUAUUUCCAGACAAAGUCGUUUUGACAACAGAUGUUCUUAAGUUUGGUCCCAUUUUAAGCAAUGUCCUUUUGGCGAGCUCCAUAACCAAGGCGAUCCAGGUGCUUGGAGCAACGCUCUCUUUUCAAUGUCUAAAGCAGCUCCUAGACCCUAAAGCUGUCAACGAUGACGUGUUCGAUAGCAUCCAGCCCAGCCAAAACACUGAUGCUGGACCUGCCGAUCACUCUUCUGAUUUUAAAAUUGAAGGCAAUGAGCUUGUUGUGUUCAAGGAGAAACCCCAAUUGAGGGUAGUGGUUGAACCUCCUCUAAUUAUCAUGUGUCAAAAGGGUUCCCUAGAGAUACUUCCAACAAAACCAGUGUCCCAGAAAACCAGCGAUCCUCAACCAACAAAUAUUCUUAUGAACGCACAGUUCCCCUUCUGGGAACUUGAACACGAAGUCCCGAUACAACACAAGAAACAAACAUCUGAACAGCUAUUGACCUUCCUGCGGACGCACAAGGAAAGUGCCAGCGCGAAGCGGGACAAUUUGGCCUGGUUCAGACGCUAUUUCCAUCCUCCGUCAACAACACCAUCAAAGAUAACAAAACAGAGUAGCUUUAAAGAUGGUGGAAGUAGAAGUAUGACCGACAACACCAGGUGCAUCGAAUCCCCGCCAAAGGAGACGGCGUUGGCUGAAGAGGACUCCCGACCUCCCGUGUUCAGGUUGAAGCGCGUGGAGCCUGGAGGAGUUAUUAUCUACUCCUGCAUGGUCCUCACCGAGACGGAACUGUGGGACAUGGGAGAAGUGGUCACACCACUCGGACCCGUUGAACAAGUGGAAACCCAGGACGGACAGCAAAACAAAGGGGUGGACAACAGUCACCGCGAGGUCUCUGCUGCUGAGGAACCGGGGGAGAAACCACAGAGUCCCCAGUGUACAAACACCACAUGUGGUUUUACCCCAGCCGAGUCGCCACUCCCGAACAGUACCGCCAGCAUCCCCGAGUUUGUGAUCGUUGCGUUCAAGGAGAUGGAGGUUGUGGUUUCCCAUGUGGUGUCCCCUGGACACUUCUACAUCCAGCGUCCAGACGUGUUGGCCAAGCAGCAGGCCCUGGUCAACGGCUGGAAAGGCCGCUCGUUUGCGGAGGAAAACAGCGUGCCAGACAUCGGGACCCUGGUAAUGGCUUUCUUCUCGGAGCAGAAGCAGUGGUGCAGGGCCCAAGUCCUGAGGAUAUGUGGCGUUGGUGGAGACGAUCAGCCCGGUGGGACCCACAUCAGCGUACAGGUGUUCCGGCUGGACCACGGAGACAAGGCCACCGUCUCCUUGCGCAACGUGGGCCCCCUGACACCGGACAUGGCGGCCCUGCCCCUGCAGGCCGCAAUGGUCUCGCUGGCCGAUGUGUCCGCGCUGGACGGGGUCCACUGGACGGAGGAGGCGGUGUCCUGGUUCAGAGCCAUGGUGGAGCACCGCACGCUGUACGCCCGGCUGUUCCCCCUCCGGUCGGCCGUCACCGUGCAUCUCUUCCUGGAGAGGGGCGCCAUGGGCGCCAUGAGGUAGCGUCCUGUGGCGGUUUGGACAGCCACUUUUGAGCAGCCGUAAAGCCUUGAAAAGAUGAAGUGUUCAAGUUCACCCAGGUCAAAGGUCGAUUGACUAUAGAGAGAUAUGAAGGAAUACGUGAAUUGCAUCGCGAUUUAAUGUUCAUCCUUUCUAAAAAAUUACUUAUUGAAGAUAUUGUUUUUUGAUUGGUUCUAAAAGUUAUUGCUAUUGCAGAAAGUUCAAAAUUAUACAUUUUGAAUCAAUAGUCAUCAGUAUUGCGGCAGUGUACAGAAAGCCCACCUAAAUAAUGUGGACAAAAGCAGUAGCUAACAAACAUACUUGUAUUUGAACCUUAAUAAAAAAAAUAGAUGUCGAAUAAUAUUAAUAUGAAAUAUUAAUAUGAUGGUAUUUUGUUUCAGGAGAGGAGCAUCGCUCUCUUUGAGGUUAGCGCAGAAUGGACAUGCGAAACUCAACCAAAUGAAAGCCUUUGCCGCAGUCAAAAGAGGUUAGUAGCAUCAAUGAUCCCAACCGCGGCUAGAUGGCAGUGGUGUGCCUGUAUCCCUUCUGCGCAUGCACACAGUAAGCACACGAUGAUCCUGAACGUUAUGUUUAUUUUCUGUUCUUAGGCAAUUUUCUCAUUCUGAAGAAAAGGCAGGAGGCUGACUGGCAGAAAUACCUAAUUGCAUGCUACACAGAAAAAGUUCUGAAAAAAACUUUGUUGGGAGUUGAAGGUUAGUUUUAGUUAUUUUUUGUUGGUGGUUGUUUUGUGUUUUUUAGUUGGUAUUCAACCCACAAUCUUUCUUUACUUUGUAAGGACUUUACAUUGUUAAUUUCUGCAAUUGCAUAGGUUUGGAGUGUUACUUCCAAAAAGUUUUUUUUCAUAGUGGAAGCAUAUAGAAUAUAUUGCCUUCCAACAGAAAGAUGGCCACUCAACUGGACGAAUAACAAAUGCCUGUAUAGUGAUAUGUAAUCAUUAUAAGCUUAAUAUUCCAAUACAAGUGUCUUUGUCAAAACUGCUCCAUCAUCACAUUUCUCUGCCAACAGUAAAUAUGUCACGUGUAUACUGGAUUAUUGUUCUGUACAUGUUUACACAAACACUGAUAUUUCAUUCAAAAAUGUCAAGGCCAACCGACGCCCCCCCUGUGCCAGUUUAUCCAAAGUGACGCAGAACGCUUGUUGCCCUGUGAGCUACUGCAGAUCAUCUGAUAGCGAACAACAAGCCCAUGCUUUGUAUGUCUGUGAUGCUUGGGCCUCUCUGCCGGUGCUGUAUUGCUGUGUUCACCGAUGUACGAUAUGAGCAUACGCAUCUAUACAAGACGACAGCUGCUGCCACCACUGUCAGAUCUUACUUGCGAUGACACCAUAACAAACAAUAACAUCUGUCCGACCAUGUGGCCUUGUAAAAGCUGCCCUGUUGUGAUGUAAAAAUUUGCAUAUUUCUCAAUAUUAAUCUAUUGGAUAAAUGUGUCAUAUCAGUCACCCGUACUACCGGCCUAAGUAUGCUUUAAAGAAAUUGUAAAGUGUGAAUUACAAAAUAAAAAGAACUCAAAAAAAAUGUUUUUAUCUUCACUGUCUAUCUUCCUAUCAUAAUAAUCCGACUUGUCGUCCAUCUUGAGGCAUAUUCACAAAAAGCCCUGAGCUGGCCCGUCUUCUCGCUCUUAUAACGGCGUCUCUGCAGAGGCACCCUUUACGUCUCGGCCCGGCCAAAC
ensembl:lncRNA